ACGAACGCUGGCGGCGUGCCUAAUACAUGCAAGUCGAACGAAACUUUCUUACACCGAAUGCUUGCAUUCACCGUAAGAAGUUGAGUGGCGGACGGGUGAGUAACACGUGGGUAACCUGCCUAAAAGAAGGGGAUAACACUUGGAAACAGGUGCUAAUACCGUAUAUCUCUAAGGAUCGCAUGAUCCUUAGAUGAAAGAUGGUUCUGCUAUCGCUUUUAGAUGGACCCGCGGCGUAUUAACUAGUUGGUGGGGUAACGGCCUACCAAGGUGAUGAUACGUAGCCGAACUGAGAGGUUGAUCGGCCACAUUGGGACUGAGACACGGCCCAAACUCCUACGGGAGGCAGCAGUAGGGAAUCUUCCACAAUGGACGCAAGUCUGAUGGAGCAACGCCGCGUGAGUGAAGAAGGUCUUCGGAUCGUAAAACUCUGUUGUUAGAGAAGAACACGAGUGAGAGUAACUGUUCAUUCGAUGACGGUAUCUAACCAGCAAGUCACGGCUAACUACGUGCCAGCAGCCGCGGUAAUACGUAGGUGGCAAGCGUUGUCCGGAUUUAUUGGGCGUAAAGGGAACGCAGGCGGUCUUUUAAGUCUGAUGUGAAAGCCUUCGGCUUAACCGGAGUAGUGCAUUGGAAACUGGAAGACUUGAGUGCAGAAGAGGAGAGUGGAACUCCAUGUGUAGCGGUGAAAUGCGUAGAUAUAUGGAAGAACACCAGUGGCGAAAGCGGCUCUCUGGUCUGUAACUGACGCUGAGGUUCGAAAGCGUGGGUAGCAAACAGGAUUAGAUACCCUGGUAGUCCACGCCGUAAACGAUGAAUGCUAGGUGUUGGAGGGUUUCCGCCCUUCAGUGCCGCAGCUAACGCAAUAAGCAUUCCGCCUGGGGAGUACGACCGCAAGGUUGAAACUCAAAGGAAUUGACGGGGGCCCGCACAAGCGGUGGAGCAUGUGGUUUAAUUCGAAGCAACGCGAAGAACCUUACCAGGUCUUGACAUCCGAUGCAUAGCGCAGAGAUGCGUGAAGUCCUUCGGGACAUCGAGACAGGUGGUGCAUGGUUGUCGUCAGCUCGUGUCGUGAGAUGUUGGGUUAAGUCCCGCAACGAGCGCAACCCUUGUUGUCAGUUGCCAGCAUUAAGUUGGGCACUCUGGCGAGACUGCCGGUGACAAACCGGAGGAAGGUGGGGACGACGUCAAGUCAUCAUGCCCCUUAUGACCUGGGCUACACACGUGCUACAAUGGACGGUACAACGAGUCGCGAGACCGCGAGGUUUAGCUAAUCUCUUAAAGCCGUUCUCAGUUCGGAUUGUAGGCUGCAACUCGCCUACAUGAAGUCGGAAUCGCUAGUAAUCGCGAAUCAGCAUGUCGCGGUGAAUACGUUCCCGGGCCUUGUACACACCGCCCGUCACACCAUGAGAGUUUGUAACACCCAAAGCCGGUGGGGUAACCGCAAGGAGCCAGCCGUCUAAGGUGGGACAGAUGAUUGGGGUG
rnacentral:rRNA from 1 species